GCACUGGGAGGGACUGGGAGCAACUGGUGGGGGUUGGGAGGGAAAUGGGAAGGGACUGGGAGCAACUGGUGGGCACUGGGAGGGACUGGGAGGGAGCUUGGGGGCACUGGGAGGGAGCUGGAAGGGACUGGGAGGCACUGGGAGGCACUGGGAGCAACUGGUGGGGGUUGGGAGGGAAAUGGGAAGGGACUGGGAGCAACUGGUGGGCACUGGGAGGGACUGGGAGGGAGCUUGGGGGCACUGGGAGGGAGCUGGAAGGGACUGGGGGGCACUGGGAGGAACUGGGAGGAACUGGGAGGGACUGGGAGGCACUGGGAGCAACUGGUGGGGGUUGGGAGGGAAAGGGGAAGGGACUGGGAGCAACUGGUGGGCACUGGGAGGGAGCUUGGGGGCACUGGGAGGGAGCUGGAAGGGACUGGUGGGCACUGGGAGGCACUGGGAGGCACUGGGAGGGAGCUGGAAGGGACUGGGAGGGAGCUGGAAGGGACUGGGGGGCACUGGGAGGGACUGGUGGGCACUGGGAGGCACUGGGAGGGAGCUGGAAGGGACUGGUGGGGGUUGGGAGGGAAAUGGGAAGGGACUGGGAGCAACUGGUGGGCACUGGGAGGGAGCUUGGGGGCACUGGGAGGGAGCUGGAAGGGACUGGGGGGC
ensembl:lncRNA